CAGUGUUACAGCUCUUUUAGAAUUUGUCUAGUAGGUUUUCCGGUGUUUGCCGGGAAGCCCUC
rnacentral:snRNA from 15 species